CCGCGGUAAUUCCAGCUCCAGUAGCGUACCUCAAAGUUGCUGCGUUUAAAACGCUCGUAGUUGGAUCACAUGGUUAGGCCUAGUGAAUUAGCGUGUUAGUACGCUAAAUCCUCAAGUGUAGAUGUGACGGUGUGUUAUCGCCGUUGCAGUUUAUAUGUUGUGGAGUACUGCACGUUGAUUGUUAGCUAGGCUUAACUGAUUGCGUGUGGGGAUGGCAAUUGACCUUAAGUGAGUCGAUUGUUGUGUCCCAUGGAGUGUGCCUUGAAUAAAACAGAGUGCUCAAAGCAGGCUUGAUGCCUGAAUGUUAACAGCAUGGAACGAACAAUUGUGGCAACAUGAUGCUGGCGCAGCUGGCAAUGUACUUAUUUGUAUGUUGUCAUGUUGGGACAGUAUCAUAGCACCAACCACCAAUAUCGGAUGUUGGUUCCGUAUUGGGGUGAUGAUUAAGAGGAGCGGUCGGGGGCAUUGGUAUUUGGCCGCGAGAGGUGAAAUUAA
rnacentral:rRNA from 1 species